AGGGUGCAAGCGUUGUUCUGAAUUAUUGGGCGUAAAGGGUGCGUAGGCGGCGGGGCAAGUCUGAUGUGAAAUCCCGGGGCUCAACCCCGGAACUGCAUUGGAUACUGCCUUGCUCGAGUACUGGAGAGGGAACUGGGAUUUACGGUGUAGCAGUGAAAUGCGUAGAGAUCGUAAGGAAGGCCAGUGGCGAAGGCGAGUUCCUGGACAGUUACUGACGCUGAGGCACGAAGGCCAGGGGAGCAAACGGG
rnacentral:rRNA from 1 species